GAUGAACGCUGGCGGCGUGCCUAAUACAUGCAAGUCGAGCGAACAGACGAGGAGCUUGCUCCUCUGACGUUAGCGGCGGACGGGUGAGUAACACGUGGAUAACCUACCUAUAAGACUGGGAUAACUUCGGGAAACCGGAGCUAAUACCGGAUAAUAUAUUGAACCGCAUGGUUCAAUAGUGAAAGACGGUUUUGCUGUCACUUAUAGAUGGAUCCGCGCCGCAUUAGCUAGUUGGUAAGGUAACGGCUUACCAAGGCAACGAUGCGUAGCCGACCUGAGAGGGUGAUCGGCCACACUGGAACUGAGACACGGUCCAGACUCCUACGGGAGGCAGCAGUAGGGAAUCUUCCGAAAAGGGCGAAAGCCUGACGGAGCAACGCCGCGUGAGUGAUGAAGGUCUUCGGAUCGUAAAACUCUGUUAUUAGGGAAGAACAAAUGUGUAAGUAACUAUGCACGUCUUGACGGUACCUAAUCAGAAAGCCACGGCUAACUACGUG
rnacentral:rRNA from 1 species